rnacentral:rRNA from 1 species
UGGGGAAUAUUGCACAAUGGGCGCAAGCCUGAUGCAGCCAUGCCGCGUGUAUGAAGAAGGCCUUCGGGUUGUAAAGUACUUUCAGCGGGGAGGAAGGGAGUAAAGUUAAUACCUUUGCUCAUUGACGUUACCCGCAGAAGAAGCACCGGCUAACUCCGUGCCAGCAGCCGCGGUAAUACGGAGGGUGCAAGCGUUAAUCGGAAUUACUGGGCGUAAAGCGCACGCAGGCGGUUUGUUAAGUCAGAUGUGAAAUCCCCGGGCUCAACCUGGGAACUGCAUCUGAUACUGGCAAGCUUGAGUCUCGUAGAGGGGGAUAGAAUUCCAGGUGUAGCGGUGAAAUGCGUAGAGAUCUGGAGGAAUACCGGUGGCGAAGGCGGCACCCUGGACGAAGACUGACGCUCAGGUGCGAAAGCGUGGGGAGCAAACAGG